AACGAACGCUGGCGGCAUGCCUAACACAUGCGAGUCGAACGAGACCUUCGGGUCUAGUGGCGCACGGGUGCGUCACGCGUGGGAACCUGCCCUUAGGUUCGGAAUUACUCUUUGUAAGGGGUGCUAAUAUCGGAUAAUGUCCUCGGAUCACAGAUUGAUCGUCUUUGGAUGGGCACGCGUUGGAUUAGCUAGUUGGUAGGGUAAAAGCCUACCACGGCGACGAUCCAUAGCUGGUCUGAGAGGAAGCUCAGCCACACUGGGACUGUGACACGGCCCAGACUCCUACGGGAGGCAGCAGUGGGGAAUAUUGGACUAUGGGCGAAAGCCUGAUCCAGCAAUGCCGCGUGAGUGAUGAAGGCCGGAGAGUUGUAAAGCUCUUUUACCCGGGAUGAUAAUGACAGUACCGGGAGAAUAAGCACCGGCUAACUCCGUG
rnacentral:rRNA from 1 species